GGUAGGCAGUGACAGAGUCCAGACAAAAGGAAAGAAUAGAGUAACCCCCCCCACAAGGAGAGUUGGGACGUUAACAUCUGGGCUGGAGAGGUGUGACGUUUGCUUCAGAAUAAACCUCUGCUCACCAUGAAACAAGUGAUUGUGUUUGCUGACUGCCUGCCGAAACGCAUCACUGGCAAGAGGAAAGCUGGACACGUUCUCACUUCAUCCGAAAGAACAAAGCCCCUCAGUGCUUUUCCUCCUUUUAACAGCCAGAGGCCUGUCCAAUGAUAAUAUGUCAGCUGAGGGAUAAGCCCUCAUCAAACAGCCAGGUCUAAGCUGCUGGAAAGCGGGGGGCUGAAGGGCCACCUGCAUGCUUCGCUUCAGACAGAGAUACAGACAUAAAAAGCCACGGUUUUUCAAGGCUGUAACAGUUAGUGUCCUCUACUUUAACUUGUUUUUGUGUUUCGGUAUCUUAUGUCCUGUGACCUCACACUUCUUGAUUCAAGAUUAACACUAUUACAUGGUCCUCUGACCUCAAGUGAA